UCUCCGGAUGACACUGCCCCCAGAGGGAGC
rnacentral:sRNA from 1 species